rnacentral:lncRNA from 1 species
UUGGAGUUUGUAGUUGGAAGCAUACUGUAUUAGUCAUAUUUGUAAUGGUUUUGAACUAUUAUCUAUUUUUUUCUACCUUAUGUAGACGUUGUACAUAUUUUUUUCCUUUAUUGAUUGAUUUCUAUACGUUUGUUUUCAAAAAUUUAAAUUGCAAAUUGUGUGGAAGAAAAUUUUUAUUUUUUAUUAUAAAUAUAUUUUAUGUAAUAAUAUAAGUUAAAAACAAAUAAGAUUAUAUAAAUAUAUUGGAGAGAGAUUCGAUUUAUUAGAGAGAGAUUUUAGG